rnacentral:lncRNA from 1 species
CCGCCUUCUGCCAAGUGAGGACACGGUGUUCCUCCCCUCUUGAGGAUACUGCUUUCAAGUCACCAUUGUGGAAACCAAAAGUGGACCCUCAUCAGACACAGAAUUUGCUGGAGCCUUGAUCUUGGGCAUCUCAGCCUUCAGAACUGAGAGAAGUUUAAUUGAAUGCUCCAGUUCUUUUCAUUUCCGAAGUUAUGGUGAGAAGAACUAAGUGGAAAAUGAUUCGAAAAAGAGAAAGUGGUGAAGUCUUCUAUGAGAAGUGCUGAAAGUUCAUCGUGAGUCUAUACACACGCAAUCUUGAAACAGAAUAUCCUUCUUGGAUAUUCCAAUAAUAUUGUUUUGGUAGUACCAAAGGAAUUAUGCUUUCAGUUUUGCCAUAGUUUGUUUCAAUCUGGAAAUCUAGGCAAAAUACCUAUUUGAAUUUCUGAAAGAGAUUGCUAGGAUAUUUCAGGAAAUGUAAGAAUUUUCUGAUUUAUAAACCUCCUUGUAAGUGGCAAUAGUCAAGAAGAUAGGAGGUGAGUGUACAAAAUGAAUGGUAUUUAUCUCAACUCAUAUUCCCUUUGUUUAUAUGGAUCCACAAUGAACUAAAUGCAAAGAAUAGGUAAAAUAAUCUUUGUAUAAGAUUUGUUGCUAAAAAGGGGAGAAAGAAAAGGCAAGAAGAAAUAUAUACAAAGCCUAUUCACAUACCCCCAGAUAAAACUAAUCCAGCCCAUCUUAUAAUAAUAUUCCAUUGUGUCUCUUCCAUAAUUUUUGAACUCAAG